GACGAACGCUGGCGGCGUGCCUAAUACAUGCAAGUCGAGCGAAGUUUUCCUGGUGCUUGCACCGGAAAAACUUAGCGGCGAACGGGUGAGUCACACGUAAAGAACCUGCCUCAUAGACUGGGACAACUAUUGGAAACGAUAGCUAAUACCGGAUAACAGCAUUAACUGCAUGGUUGAUGUUUAAAAGUUGGUUUUGCUAACACUAUGAGAUGGCUUUGCGGUGCAUUAGCUAGUUGGUGGGGUAAAGGCCUACCAAGGCGACGAUGCAUAGCCGACCUGAGAGGGUGAUCGGCCACACUGGAACUGAGACACGGCCCAGACUCCUACGGGAGGCAGCAGUAGGGAAUCUUCCGCAAUGGGCGAAAGCCUGACGGAGCAACGCCGCGUGAGUGAAGAAGGAUUUCGGUUCGUAAAGCUCUGUUGUUAGGGAAGAAUGAUUGUGUAGUAACUAUACACAGUAGAGACGGUACCUAACCAGAAAGCCACGGCUAACUACGUG
rnacentral:rRNA from 1 species